rnacentral:rRNA from 1 species
UACAGAGGGCUCAAGCGUUGUUCGGAUUCAUUGGGCGUAAAGGGUGUGUAGGUGGCGCCGUAAGUCGGGGGGGAAAUUUCGGAGCUUAACUCCGAAACUGCAUUCGAUACUGCGGUGCUUGAGGACUGGAGAGGAGACUGGAAUUCAUGGUGUAGCAGUGAAAUGCGUAGAGAUCAUGAGGAAGACCAGUGGCGAAGGCGGGUCUCUGGACAGUUCCUGACACUGAGACACGAAGGCCAGGGGAGCAAACGGG